CGCUAGUGCAUGAUCCUGUGCUUCCUGAAUUGGCAAUGUGGUGCAAUUGGGGUCUGAUCCCACAGCUGUAGUUCAGAUCCCGUUGCGUUUUUAACAAAACAUCUGCCAGAAGCCUUAUAAAUAUUCUAUCUGCAAAUUGCGCCCCCCUCCCCAUCCAAAGGUAGCAGCAAUUAAGUAACAAGUGGAGUCAAUUUUCAGUUUUUAAGGGGCCUUGCUUGGAAAAAGCAAGUGUUGCCUUGGCAUUUGUUUAUGCUGUAGUUUUUAAAUACCUUAAAAGCAUUUAACAAAUGAUUACAUGAAUUAAAACGGUUUAUAUAAUGCCAUAUUGCAACUCUGCCCUUAGGUUACGGCCUUGACUAAACUUUCCAGAAGCUUCUGAGGCAGGCACACAAGAACAGAAGUACCGAUGACUUGCUGAAUCUAGUUGAGAGAAAUCUAAGGCAAGAGUGGCAGUAUUACAAUCAAAGAAUAUUUCACUAAAGCUUUAAACACUUGUGAAUUUUACUGGUGCUAAAAUGACAGAAGCGCUCCUUGAACCAUUAAAAGAAAUAGGAAUCUUGUGCAGUGAUUUGAGGGGUGAAAACUGCAACAGUGGAGCAAAUCUGAAAGAGGGGCAGUAGAGUUUGGAGGAGAAAUUUUGGGAUCUGAAGAAGGUGGCAUCUUUUGCCCGACUCAAGAUCAAUCUUUCAAAAAACGUGGCCUCUACAGGAGUCAUCAUUGAACAUGGGUAGAGUAUGGUGGAGAAAUGUUUACUGCCUCUGCUUGAGCUGCUACCUACUCUGUGGUAUUCAAGAGAGAGUCUGAUGGAGGGGUGAUGAUUGAUUUCCAUCAGAAAUUCAACAAUUGGAGAUUGCAGGCUUUCUGUCCAAAUCAUGAAGAUGUCAUCAAUAAGUAUAGCAAGGGUUUGAUGGUGCAGUUCUUGAAGAAUUCUUCUUCCAGGUGGCACACAAGAAGGUUGGUAUAUUGUGGGGUCAUUUUGGUGUCAAUAGCUGUGCCCGUGGUCUGGAGGAAUUGUUGGUUAUUGAAAGGGAAGUUUUGUGUGCAAGUUUAGUUGACUCAUCAACAACGGACGACGACCCUGCGCCACCCAAAGAGGACCCCCGCGAUAGACCAUAUAUAGACUGAGACACUUUUUCCUCGGACCACUUCUUCCACCAUUGCGGACCAUUGUCACGGGUAUGUGUGUUCCUAUCCUCUUUUUC